rnacentral:sRNA from 1 species
UAACUCAAGAAGGACAGUAACCAAGAGC